rnacentral:tRNA from 1 species
GCCAGCUUAGCUCAGGGGUAGAGCAGCUGAUUUGUAAUCAGCAGGUCAUGGGUUCAAAUCCGAUAGCUGGCU